rfam:Basidiobolus meristosporus CBS 931.73 K493scaffold_557, whole genome shotgun sequence.
GUCUAAUUAGCUUAAUAGGUAGAGCGUAAGAGAUUCUCUUGAAGGUGUGGGUUCGAAUCCCAUGUUAGUCU